rnacentral:rRNA from 1 species
GCUUAACACAUGCAAGUCGAACGAGAUCUUCGGAUCUAGUGGCGCACGGGUGCGUAACGCGUGGGAAUCUGCCCUUAGGUACGGAAUAACAGUGAGAAAUUACUGCUAAUACCGUAUGAUGUCUUCGGACCAAAGAUUUAUCGCCUAAGGAUGAGCCCGCGUUGGAUUAGCUAGUUGGUGGGGUAAAGGCCUACCAAGGCGACGAUCCAUAGCUGGUCUGAGAGGAUGAUCAGCCACACUGGGACUGAGACACGGCCCAGACUCCUACGGGAGGCAGCAGUGGGGAAUAUUGGACAAUGGGGGAAACCCUGAUCCAGCAAUGCCGCGUGA